rnacentral:rRNA from 1 species
CCUACGGGGGGCAGCAGUGAGGAAUAUUGGUCAAUGGCCGGAAGGCUGAACCAGCCAUGCCGCGUGAAGGGCAGGGCCCUAGGGGCGUUAAACUUCUUUUGUGCGGGAGCAAGAAUGGUCACGUGUGGCCAGACGAGAGUACCGUACGAAGAAGCAGCGGCUAACUCCGUGCCCGCAGCCGCGGUAAUACGGGGGAUGCAAGCGUUAGCCGGAGUUAUUGGGUUUAAAGGGUGCGUAGGCUGUGAGGUAAGUCAGCGGUGAAAUGCCCCCGCUCAACGGGGUGAAGUGCCAUUGAUACUGCCUUGCUGGACUGCGGAUGCCGUGGGAGGAAUGUGUGGUGUAGCGGU